UACGUAGGGUGCAAGCGUUAAUCGGAAUUACUGGGCGUAAAGCGUGCGCAGGCGGUGAUGUAAGACAGAUGUGAAAUCCCCGGGCUCAACCUGGGAACUGCAUUUGUGACUGCAUCGCUGGAGUACGGCAGAGGGGGAUGGAAUUCCGCGUGUAGCAGUGAAAUGCGUAGAUAUGCGGAGGAACACCGAUGGCGAAGGCAAUCCCCUGGGCCUGUACUGACGCUCAUGCACGAAAGCGUGGGGAGCAAACAGGAUAGAU
rnacentral:rRNA from 1 species